rnacentral:rRNA from 1 species
AUGUGCCCAGAUGGGAUUAUCUUGUUGGUGAGGUAACGGCUCACCAAGGCGACGAUCCCUAGCUGGUCUGAGAGGAUGACCAGCCACACUGGAACUGAGACACGGUCCAGACUCCUACGGGAGGCAGCAGUGGGGAAUAUUGCACAAUGGGCGCAAGCCUGAUGCAGCCAUGCCGCGUGUAUGAAGAAGGCCUUCGGGUUGUAAAGUACUUUCAGCGGGGAGGAAGGUGUUGUGGUUAAUAACCGCAGCAAUUGACGUUACCCGCAGAAGAAGCACCGGCUAACUCCGUGCCAGCAGCCGCGGUAAUACGGAGGGUGCAAGCGUUAAUCGGAAUUACUGGGCGUAAAGCGCACGCAGGCGGUCUGUCAAGUCAGAUGUGAAAUCCCCGGGCUCAACCUGGGAACUGCAUUCGAAACUGGCAGGCUUGAGUCUUGUAGAGGGGGGUAGAAUUCCAGGUGUAGCGGUGAAAUGCGUAGAGAUCUGGAGGAAUACCGGUGGCGAAGGCGGCCCCCUGGACAAAGACUGACGCUCAGGUGCGAAAGCGUGGGGAGCACACAGGAUUAGAUACCCUGGUAGUCCACGCCGUAAACGAUGUCUACUUGGAGGUUGUGCCCUUGAGGCGUGGCUUCCGGAGCUAACGCGUUAAGUAGACCGCCUGG